rnacentral:lncRNA from 1 species
CCUUGUUGCAUCAUUUUAACAUUAAGGUUAGAAAAAUGGUACAAAUGAAAAUAUUUGUAAAGAAUUGUGCACGUUAUUACAUCAGUAAUAAUAUAACCGCAGUAAUUAGAUAUAUUCAAAGAAGAAAAGAAAACCUUUUAUUUACUUGAGUUUAAAUAUAAUUUUAUAAAUUUGAAUGUAAACAUUAUUAUUCUUAAUGUGUUUGAAACUCAUUCUAAUAAUUUAUGUUGUUUAUCCAUGAAUACUAUUGCAUUCAUAAAACUGAAGAAAUAUGAAUGGAAAAGAGAUUCUUCAUACUUUUUGUCAAUGAGAGUAACACUAUCAAAGUGAAGAAGAAAAGUAAUAGAACUAAGGAAAGUCUAUAAACUUAUCUAUUAAGAAAACAAGGUAGGAAUUUCUUAUUCUGAUCUAGGUAUAGUAAUUACUUAAUUUUAUGAUUUAAGGAAUAUGUGAAUGAUCAUAAAUUAUUAUCUGAAAAAAUGUAAAAGUACUUAUAACACAACGACAACUUCCUUACCAAAUAUGAAUCUUUUAUUAUUAUUCAGUUCAAUGCUUGUUGAUGACACAGAUAGAUGCAAAAUGAAAAAUUGCUAUUAUAUUCCAUUGCUAUAACUACAUUUUGUCUAUUAUUAUAAAAUUAGUUGAAUUUAAACAAGAGAAUAAUACACCGUGGCAAAAGAAAAUGCUUUUUGUACUAACUAAAAUAAAAAUAUUGUUAUUAGUACGAUUCAUUUAAGAAUAAAUAAAUAGAAUGUUCUUACUCCGGAAAAUACUUGAUGCGAUGCUAUAAAGAAACCUCCAAUUGAGAGUGCACAUUCCAUUUUGCCUCUUAAAAUUAUAAACAACAGUAUUUUUUGAGUUUUUAUAGAAAGCAUAUAGAAUGGAACUUGACAUCUGUAAAAAAAAAAGUUUUAAUUGAUAUAAAAAAUACAUAAUAGUGAAUUGCUUAAUAAUUAGACUAUACUUUAUAUAAAUUUGAUAAAUAUUUGUUAACUCUUUCGCUCUUGUACACUCCAACAAGAACAUAACUUAUAAAACUUUUUAAAUGUGCUAUUUAAAGAUGAUGUUUAAAAUUUGUUUCUUGUCGAUACGAAAAAAACUCAGAUACCUUGUAUAUAGACCUUUUGAAAUAAAAGAGUUAAUAUGUGUAUUCUUUUAAAAGUUACUUUAGAAAUUCAAUAUUUAACAAAUCUUACAAUUCAUAGUAAGCAGUAUUGCUAUGAUUAAUAAUCUUUUGUCCCAUAUAAAAAUUAAUAUAUGCUAUAAAUAUAGAAACAAUAAGGUAGGAACAACACUCGAUUAUUCCCCCUGUUUUCUGUGAUACCGAAGAUAAUUUAAAUAUCUACAAGAAAAUUAAUGAAAUAUAUAAAUAUAUUGUAUCACACUUGUUUUUUUCUUUGUCAUGUUUCCUACUUACGUAAAAUCGACAACUUACAUUAAUAAAAUCCAAUAUUAUAAGGAUCAUCACAAGGAAAGAACAUAAUAAGUAAUUUAUUUUCGUGAAAUAACUUAUCAGAUCAACAAACCUUGAACAAUACAAAAUUUGAUUUAUUAUCGUAUAUAACCAAAAUGAUCGUAUAUAACAAAAAAAAAAAUUAAAAUGUAUAAUAUCUUAAUUAUAUUUGACUUACUCCGUGACUCUUUUAUAACGGUUGAUUAUGUCAACUAUCCAAUCGAAUUCUUUCCAAGAACUUUUAUUAUUCACAUCUUCUACAUUAUUAUAUAUGUUGUUAUUUAAAAAUGGUUGUCGUAAUUUAAGUCUGAA